rnacentral:misc_RNA from 1 species
GGGAGAUCCAAAUGUGAUGCAUCUUGGAGGAGUGGAGUUGGUGUUUGAGUCUGAGUUUCUUUGCUGUUCCAACAGCCAGAUGGUUGCGAGAAUGGCUAUCGGACCUCCGGCUGAGUGGCCAGUAAACACCACAGGCUUAUUCACUCUCAGAACCUGGGAAAACAAAAUCCGAUUAUGUAUCUCAAUAGUUAUAAGAAGAGACUGGAUUUAUU